AUACAAGCAGACACUUUAAGUUUAGUGCAAGGCGGGUUUACUGCUGGAAGCACUACAUCUGAAUCGAGCUGUGAAGCAGUCAGACUGUGCUGCAAAAUAUUAGUUGAAAGACUAACCCCUCUAAAGAAGAAUUUGCAAGAAAAAAAUGGUUCCGUUGAUUGGACUACGCUGAUUCGCCAGGCAAAAUUUCAAGCGAUAAACUUAGCAGCAAACUCUUAUUAUGUGCCAGAAUUGAGCUCCAUGAAGUAUCUGAACUAUGGAGCUGCUGUCAGCGAGGUGGAGAUAGACAUCCUGA
rnacentral:misc_RNA from 1 species